rnacentral:rRNA from 1 species
GAUGAACGCUGGCGGCGUGCCUAAUACAUGCAAGUCGAGCGAACAGAUAAGGAGCUUGCUCCUUUGACGUUAGCGGCGGACGGGUGAGUAACACGUGGGUAACCUACCUAUAAGACUGGGAUAACUUCGGGAAACCGGAGCUAAUACCGGAUAACAUUUGGAACCGCAUGGUUCUAAAGUGAAAGAUGGUUUUGCUAUCGCUUAUAGAUGGACCCGCGCCGUAUUAGCUAGUUGGUAAGGUAACGGCUUACCAAGGCGACGAUACGUAGCCGACCUGAGAGGGUGGUAGGCCACACGGGAACUGAGACACGGUCAAGACGCCUACGGGAGGCAGCAGUAGGGAAUCGUCCGCAAUGGGCGAAAGCCUGACGGAGCAACGCCGCGUGAGUGAUGAAGGGUUUCGGCUCGUAAAAAUCUGUUAUUAGGGAAGAACAAAUGUGUAAGUAACUGUGCACGGAUUGACGGUACCUAAUCAGAAAGCAACGGCUAACUACGUG